CCUACGGUGUGCAGCAGUGGGGAAUAUUGGACAAUGGGCGAAAGCCUGAUCCAGCCAUGCCGCGUGUGUGAAGAAGGCCUUCGGGUUGUAAAGCACUUUCAGUGGGGAAGAAAGCCUUGGGGCUAAUACCCUCGAGGAAGGACAUCACCCACAGAAGAAGCACCGGCUAACUCCGUGCCAGCAGCCGCGGUAAUACGGAGGGUGCGAGCGUUAAUCGGAAUUACUGGGCGUAAAGCGCGCGUAGGCGGUCUGAUAAGCCGGUUGUGAAAGCCCCGGGCUCAACCUGGGAACGGCAUCCGGAACUGUCAGGCUAGAGUGCAGGAGAGGAAGGUAGAAUUCCCGGUGUAGCGGUGAAAUUCGUAGAGAUCGGGAGGAAUACCAGUGGCGAAGGCGGCCUUCUGGACUGACACUGACGCUGAGGUGCGAAAGCGUGGGUAGCAAACAGGAUUAGAUACCCUUGUAGUC
rnacentral:rRNA from 1 species